GGAGAACAGGAUUUGUUUCUUUGAUGUAAAAAGGAUUAGGGUGAAAACAGCUGACUAGUAGGUUCCAGGGAAACAAAGAAUAACUUAUGAAGAUACUUUGAUAGCUGCUAAGAGAUCAACAUCCUUGAGGCUGCUGCUUCUACUGACUACUUAAUCAAUGGUUCCAAAAGUCUGGGGGAGGGAUGGGAGAGUAGGAAGCACAGAAACAUACACAAAAUUUGAUUGAAAUCAGCCUGGGGAAAGCCAGCUCCAUCUGAUUGUAUCAGUACAGGAUAACAUAAAUGAGAAGGUAGUUCCCAAUGACACCAAUAAAAACCACUAGCGAGUAGCAGGGGAUGAUGAGUGGCUUGAAGGACUGAACAAACUGGAGCCC